rnacentral:rRNA from 1 species
UACGAAGGGGGCUAGCGUUGCUCGGAAUUACUGGGCGUAAAGGGAGCGUAGGCGGACUGUUUAGUCAGAGGUGAAAGCCCAGGGCUCAACCUUGGAAUUGCCUUUGAUACUGGCAGUCUUGAGUACGGAAGAGGUAUGUGGAACUCCGAGUGUAGAGGUGAAAUUCGUAGAUAUUCGGAAGAACACCAGUGGCGAAGGCGACAUACUGGUCCGUUACUGACGCUGAGGCUCGAAAGCGUGGGGAGCAAACAGGAUUAGAAACCCUCGUAGUCC